ACUUCCGGUGUCAUUUACACUUAUCUAUUAAAACCUAAAACUCACACAAAAAAAACAUCUUCAUUUCCAUUUUAUACCAUGGAAUCAUUUUAUCUGUUAAAACUGAAUGUAUUUACAGUUAUAUUAUUUUUUGUGUCAUCUCAACGGCUUGACUUCCAGAAAUCAUUGGAAGGGAAACAUUUCAACUAUUAUAACUGCAACAGAACAGCGGUUCCACUUUAUGUGAAAUUUCUCAAUAUUUCACCCGAUCCCAUCCGGAUGGGUGAGGUUAUAAAUGUUACAUUGAACUUUGACCUUGAGAGAGAUGCAGGAGUAAACCACAACAGGAUAGAGGUAGAUUUCAGUUUGAGACUGAAGACAAAGGAAGGGUAUACGGAGUUGUGUGACGUAAUUGGAGAGGAGGCAUGCCAUUAUAAUGAUUUUUGUGCAGUCCUAGCUGAAUACAUGAAAAACAAAGAGUGUCCAUGGUUUAUACCACCUCUCUUUGGGAAUAACUGUUCGUGUCCUUUCCUGAAAAGAGACUACAACUGCAAAUUUCCUAUUCCAUUUAGAUUACCUCGACUUUCAUUUGAGAUUCGUGGUACAUUUGACAUGACAAUGAAUAUUCACGAGCAAGGAAAAUAUUUGGGCUGUGUUGAGAUUCACUUUUGUGUAACCAACUGUGAACCCUUAGGAUCAGAGAAGAUCAUAACAAAAGCACAGACAUUUUCAAAAACUCCUUAACAUAACAAAUACGAAGGGAAAUAAUCCUUGCAAUUCUUAUAAAUCAGGAUUUAUUCAGUACUCCCUCUUUUCUUGAUGACUUUGCUGUAUUAUAGUUGUGUAUUUUCUUUCGUACAUAAUAUCUCAGAAUAUUAGACGUGAUUAAGGUAGUUUGAACCUUGCACAGAGGUACGACUGAAUGAGAGAAACAACCAUGUUUAAAUAACCAUGUGAAAAUGAUUGAAGUUUACAAAACAAUUUCCAAUUCCCAAAGAUCUAGUUAUCUACCAAAAUUUAUAAAUAGGGAAACUGGGGCAUUUAAUAGAAACACUUUAGUGACACGUUGACACCAUGGUUUGACACAGUGUGGUACUUAUUUAGAACUUGCUUUUAUGUUAACAAUACGUGCUAAUCAAUGCCAAAUACUAUUAAGAAAGGUACAGACUAAUUUCAAGAAUGCUAUAAAACGUUGGCUAAAUUAACCUUUCCAAGCUUUACUGUUAUCGCCGGUAUUAUUAGAAAAUACUCGUAUUAUAAUAAUGAUCUGUUUUAAAUGUAUACGUUUACACACAUUCCAGUCACUCUUAAAUAUACGUGUGCACCCAUAUAUUAACAAGUUUACGCGUAAAUAUAUGCGUGGAGGUAAAAUUCUACGCGUAAACGCGUAAUUCUGGAUGCUCGUAUAUACAUGUGUAUGUACAUUGUAUGCACCUUUAUAUUUAACAGUGUAUGCGUAAAAAUAUAACAUGACGUAUAAUUUUACGCUUACACGCGUUAUUCUGGGUGCUCGUUUAUAUACGCGUUCAUGCAUAGAUUUUGCGCGGAGUUGAAAAUUUAUACGUGCACGCGUAAUUAAAAGUGUAUAUAUUUAUAAACGCGCACGUACAUAUAAACGCGCAUCUACAUAUUUAUGCGCGCACGUAUAAAAUGUACAGGUAGACAUAUAGAUUUAGGUGUGCAUGUAUAUUUUAAAAUGUGCGCUUACGCAAAUCAGACUUUCGGUCCAAACGGUACACCGAUGGCUUAGUGCAAUACUUGUCAAACUAAAUUUUCUAAAAUUAUUCAGGAGGGACAAAAAACUGAUCCUAUAAAAAGUUAUUUUGACUGGAAAAAUAUAAAUUAACAUAUUGGCAUGAAAUGCCUUAAGAAAUUAUGGUUUAAAUUCAUUUUUGGCAAAAAGCAGUUAAAAUAGUGUAUUUGAGAGUUGGACCAAUAUUGCAUUCAGUUUUUCAGUGCAAUACAAGACCAACUUGAGUUAGACCAUUUUCACAUUGUAUUUGUGCUGUUUCAGAGCUAAUUAAACUGCAGUUGGACUUCUAUUACACUGAAAAGAAAACAUGUUUUGUAAUUACACCCCCCAAAAAUAUAUUUUUAAGUGAGGAGAUGAAGAUAACAUUAUUUUGUCUUGCCUAUCCAAAACAUUUUAGACAAAACAUAAUCGGUUUUCAACUGGCCAUUCCUAUUGCGGCUAUGUUUCUAGUGGCAAAGUUGUUAUAUACCUUCAGAUAAGGCAUAAAGAAAGUAAUUGUAACAAUCCAGAUAAAACAGGGAGCAGGUUACCAGAUCAACUCAGUACAACUGAAAUAGGGAAAACGUGCACCUCAGACUCAGCACACUCCAAAUAGGGAAAUUGGGCACCUGUGUAAAACUGGAAACCUCAGUACAACUAAAAUAGGGAAAUAGGCACCUACUAGUAAGUACAACUGAGAUAGGGUAAAAAUGCACCUCAGUACAACUGGAAUGGGGGUAAAAUGCACCUCAGUACAACUGGAAGAGGGAAAAUAGGCAACUCGGUACAACUGUAAUAGGGUAAAAAUGCAUUACUGGAAUAGGGAAGAUGGGCACCUCAGUACAACUGGAAUAGGGAAAAUAUGUACUUCAGUAGAACUAAACUAGGGGAAAUAGGUGUUGCACAUUAAACAUACAGACAGAGACCUAAGUAUUAUUACUGCAUGUAUUUCGGAGAAAGUAACAGAAUCCUUCAACUUGUAUGAAAACACAACCUACAAGUAAUUACGUAUCUUACAAUUACUAGUAGUUCACUUCCAACCCUUGAACAUGGAAUUCAACAUCAGCAAUAACAUGUAAUAUAUAAAACUAAAUUUGCAAAUCAAACAAAUUAUCCAUAGCUACUUAAAUUCAUUAGGGAAAUGGAGCUGUCAUCAUUUCUGUGGUGAAGCUAUGGCAAGAUGUUAAUUACAUUUGUAUAUGAGAAAAAUAAUGCAACCAGACUGAAGCUCAAACCUGUGGCCUUGGAAUACUGUUUCUAUGCUCUACAGACUGAGCAACCAGGCUGUUUACAAAUUUUCUUCCAGAUUUACGUUACAUGUUUCUCAUCUAUACUAGUAUUGAAACUCAGCCUCAAAUUUCAGUCAUAUGAAUUUAUUACAGGUGUCGUAACCAAGUCAAAGUCACAUUUAUGAUACAAUAUGUUACAGGGCCGGAUAAAUGUGCAGAAGGACUUUGACUCAGACCCAGGGUUUUUGCUGACCAAAUUACUUGGCCUCCUGCACAUUUUCUUGCAGAGUUUUUUAACUUUUAGGAAUGAGUUGUUAAAACAUGCAAAAUAUGGUAAAAGCGAAUUGUGAAAACAUGCUGUUUUUAAAUUUUGUAAAAAGUGUUGAUUUCUAAGAAUAUUCUGCAUAAUGCAAGAAAUUGUUAAUGACUGAAGUGAGCAUACUACCUAUUUUUGCACACAAAACUAAUGAAUCUUAGCAGAAAUUAUUUAGACAAAUUGGUAGAUACUGGUAAUUCUGACAAAAUGCAUAAUUAUCAAAAUUAUGGUUCUUGACCUACAUAGUCAUCUAAUGAUGAUAAACAUGUGUGCCAAGAUUCAAAGCUAUACCUCUUAUAGAUUUUGAGAAAAGGUGGACCUAAACAAAAAAUUUAACCAAGAAACUCAAAUUUACUUAGUACAAAAAGGGCCACAAUUUUGACAAAAUGCAUAUCAGAGUUAUGGGUUUUUAGCCUACUAAGUCAUCUAAUGAUGACAAACAAGUGUGCAAAGUUUAAAAGCUAUAGCUUUUAUGGGUUUUGAGAAAAGAUGGACCUAAUCAAACAUUUUAACCAACAACGUCGCAGAUCAAGUGACGACAAAACCUCGUAGAUUUUUAUCAAAAAUCAGUUUUGCUAUAGCACCAAAAAAAAUGUUCGUAAUGUUUUUAUCCGAUUAACAAAAGCAAAACAAGGGAAAACAGUCUGGGUUUGAAUUUCCGUCUUUGGUAUGGUAAAAAUCUAAUUACACAAGUAAACUUAUAGGCUCUUUUUCUCAUAUCAUAUUUGUUCGUCUUGGCCACUUUCAGGACUAAGGGAAUUAAUACAUUGGCGAUGGACUCACUUCAGCUUCUGUAGAGUUAAAAAGAAAUUUUAGACGGACUUGCCAGACUAUUUGCCUGCUCCAAGUAUUAGAAGUUUUGAUUAUAAUUCUUGAUCAAUAUGAUCAAGCACUUCUUGCUCUUAUUACAUUACUUACCUAUGCAGUACCUAACUUGAACGAAAUCACAACAUUUUUGUUCAUUGAUAGGUUUAACUAAAGCAUAUUGGUAAAAUCAAACAAUUUUAUCAGUGCAACAAGUCCAACUCAAGUUAGACUUGUCACAAAACAAAUUUUUCAGUGAAAUAUAAGUCCAACUCAAGUUAGACUUUUAUUGCAGUGAUGAAAACCAACAUUCUGAGAUAGACCUAUAUGUUUCUUGAGAGUAAAAGUGGGCAAAAAAGGGUAAAUUACCCUAAUAACUUCACAGACUGUGUAUUUGACAUUAGUUUAUAAAAUAUGUAAAAAAGUGAUUUUGUGAAAAUGUCACUUGGACCAGUAUUGCGCUAAGCCAUCGAUAUCGCACAUAGACACAUCACAAGGUAUGUCACCGUAUGAUUUGGUCAUGAUCUGGUCAUGUACAUACCGGUAUUUUAGUCCAGGAGCUUCGAAUGGAAUCAAUCAACAGUCUGUCAGUCAGACUCUUACGACAUGAUCAGUUAUUAGAAUGUUAGAGCGAAAGUUCUGAUACGUUCACACUAGAAAAGUAUCAAACAUUCUUUUCAAUGUGCGAAAAAUGUCGAAUGUACAAUUGCUUGAAAACAAUAAAGUAAAAUAAGAAAUAUUAAAAAUUGUUUGUUGUUUAUAUUGUUUUGCAAAUUCUAAUUUAAUCUGGAUUUCACUCGGUGAAAGAUUUUUUUAAUCUUACACAAACAAAUAUCGUCUCUGUAUUUGCACAGGCCAGGAUUUACCGUUCGUGGUGGUAGUUUAUAAUCCUUGAAAAGACAAAUGUUUAUAAUUAUGUUCAAGUUAAAUAGAUACUUUAUAAUUUAGCACCAUCGAUUUUUUCCCUUAAUUGAUUAAUAUAAUGUUUAUAAUUAAGAGUUAGUUUCCACGUUCUUAAAGACAUAAAUGAGCCGUGCCAUGAGAAAACCAACAUAGUGGCUUUGCGACCAGCAUGGAUCCAGACCAGCCUGCGCAUCCGCGCAGUCUGGUCAGGAUCCAUGCUGUUCGCUAACAGUUUCUCCAAUUCCAAUAGGCUUUAAAAGCGAACAGCAUGGAGCCUGACCAGACUGCGCGGAUGCGCAGGCUGGUCUGGAUCCAUGCUGGUCGCACACCCACUAUGUUGGUUUUGUCAUGGCACGGCUCAAAUAUCUUAUUACAAUGCAUUAUCUAAGUUAGACUGAUGUUUAUUUAGGUUAUUAACACAAGUAAAUUUAUAAUAAAUAUCAUUCGUGAAUACGACUCUCAGCAUAUGGAUUAAAUAUUUUUAAAGCAGUCAUUCUUUUGUUUAUGAACCCUAAUCGAAACAUUGUACUUCCUUGUUGAAUCAUUAUGCUGACAAUAGCGAUUUAGAUAACUUUCUAAAGUAAAUAAAUUUAAAUUUCCGGUUUCGUGUCAUUCAGUAAGAUAUUGUAGCUUUAUCCAUGCAGGAUACAUAUAUUUUGUACCAUGGAAAACGUUAUUUUGUUCCGAUUGAGUAUAUUCGUAGUUAUAGUAUAUUGUGUUUCAUUACAGAGACUUGAUUUCCAGAAACAAAAGGAAGAGGAAAAUUUCAGCUUUUAUAACUGCAAUAGGUCAGCUGUUCCAUUAUAUGUAAAAUUACUCAAAGUCACACCCGAUCCCAUUCGGUUUGGCGAAAACGUAUUUGUUGCCUUAAUCCUUGACCUUGAGAGAGAUGCGGGUGUCAACCAUAACACGAUAGAGCAAUUGCGAACCAUUAGGAUCUGAAUAGAUCAAGACAAGAACAUAAAUGAUUUCAACAACUGGUACACUGGGGGAUAAUCUUUAAAAUCCAAUAUGUAGUGACUUGUUGAGUAGUUCUUCUUUUUCCUUUAUUCUGGAACAGACGUUCACUGGUUAACAUCACUUUAUUUGGGAAACUGAUUCGAAGAUGUCAGCGUAACGAAUAACAGCCUACAUCUGCAUGAUAAUUUUUACUUUGUUGCCGUAGAUAUCAUCAUACCAGUAUCAUUUUAAAGCAAAACUAUUAAAUGAAAUGUGAUGUAAUAGUUCUGGUGACUGCUGUAUAUAUAUUCGUUUUGUCCCUCAAUUAUUCUUCAUAAUGAUGAAAGGAUGACAGUGGAUAUCAAGAAUCAUUUGACGCUUUUCUAUUUUUAACAAUCAUUGUUAAUGCCUUAUUCACAUUUGACCUGAGCGCCGUGCAAUAAAUUAGUCUACGAUUUUCCUUGCGGUUUUAGGGCAUCGUAGAUGGCUACAGCUACGAUGUAUGUUAUAUACGAGCAUUGUGCCAUGUUUUUGUAUAAGCUCUCGGCGGGGGGGGGGGGGGGGGGCGGGAGAAGGCCGGGAGAAAUCCGUAAGGACGCUGCGCGGAGAUUAGACGGACAUCGUGAAAUUUCAGUGCAGUUUCCGUGCAGUCUCCGCAAGUUUCCCAAGACGGGUACUGCACGGACAGCCAGCGGUAACCUUGCGGCAGCUGUGCCAGGGCCGUGCGAAGGUCCCACGAGUCUACAAUCUCCGUACGAUUCCGUGCGUUGGCUAGCGAUCAGCGCGCGGCCUCCUAACGAUUCCCGUGCGGGGAUUGUGCAAUGCCACCUGCGACAUGUCUACGGACUACAGGGUUACGAUGUUUUCAAAUUUGUAUAACUUUUCGCUAAACAAAAUUAUAGAGGAUGCGGAGCCCGUGAAUCCGUACGAAAAUCGUACUGUCACCUUUUUCCUCCGCACGGAAAUGAGGAUACGGGCAGUCUAUUGGCUCCGCAGAGGCAUCGCAGGCCAAAUGUGAACUAGGCAUUAGUUAUCGAAAUACAUUCAGUUUACUUGCUAUUCCGUAAAAACAAUACAUCAAUUCAUACAACAUGAACGCCUCAAUAGUAAAUACAUAUAGUAAUGGAUACAGACAAAACUUGAAAGAUCUCAAGCAAACAGCAAUAUAGAACUGCAUCGUUUAAAAACAAAAGGACAUUGUGAACAAACAGGAUGGGUGGUCUGAAUCCAUGCUGGUCGCAUAUGCACUAUGUUGGUUUUCUCAUGGCGCGGCUCAUUUUAUGUUCCAGAAAGUAUGAUAGAAGAAACAACCGCGACGGCAACCAUAUAUCACGUUCUGAAACACAGUAGUAUAGAUAUGUCUUUUUAAACAUAUAAUAUAUUGUUAACGGACGGUUUUUGUAUACGUUCGUUUUGUUUUUGAUUUAUUUUUGACAGAGCGGGAGAAAUAAACAUGUUAAAAAGUGUAUGAGGUGAAAUGCUAAUGUUAAAAAAAUAAAAUUUAAUAAACUGA